GGCAACUUGGCCGAGCGGUCUAAGGCGCCACGUUAAGGAGUUAUCCUUGAUCCCCUCAACUGAUCCAGUUGUUCCGUGGUCCGAAAGGGCGUGAGUUCGAAUCUCACAGUUGUCA